AUCAACUGCAGUUAGUAGUUUGCCUGCAGCUAAUACCGGUAGCUUUUUUGUUGUUGUUGGCGAAAAGUUUCGCUUAAAAAUUUGUUCUCGGUCUUCUAAAGUCAAGUGGAGUGAUUUACUUUCUAUUGAAGAGAGUUCGCGGCAAUUAAUGGCAAUUUGGAAUCAAUCGGAAAGAGUUAUUUGAAAACGCUGCCACUUCGGAUCAUCGAUAUUUAUUCCAAAUUUAUCUUCGCCGAUGGACAUUCAGGAAUGUUCCAAAAGCACUGCGUUGCGCAGCCGUGCGUUGAACAAAGCGAGAGUGUUCCGCCCGCAGUCGGAAAUAUAUGUUUGAGGAUUCAAACAAAUUCGGAACACAUAGCAGUUUCAAUACUGUUGCUGGGAAAUAAUGCAGGUGGCGCGAAGAAAGUAUUUUGCUUAGCAGUAGCUAUUUCAUGAAGUGGUUUUACGCAUCGGGAUUACAACUGUUGAAUGAGACUACUUUUUGCGACUGGAAAAGAUCUAUUCCUGAAGUAUUACAUCCGGAAGUGUACCCAAGAGCAGGGCUGUUUAAGCAUUUUCCAUAACUAAAAGUACAAACAAAACAUUUUGAGGAGACCACAAAGUGAUGAAAGUUAUUGAAAGGUAAUUUUUCACAUUAUUGGAUGAUUAUGAACAGACAAUUCCACAC